rnacentral:lncRNA from 1 species
ACCCUAUAGUAAAGUGUACAUCUUACACCCACUCCAUCUUAAGAUCAUUUUCGUCACAUCAAUUUUCUUAAAUUUUACUAUAAACCAUUUCGAUUUUUAUAUAUCAACCCAAAAUUGCGGGUACACCCCGUUUUGGAUGUACAAAAAGCGUGUUUGGUUCGAAGUUAGAAUCGGAAUCGGAAUCGGAAUCAAAAUAAGCUGGAAUCAGAGUCGGAAUGACUCAUUACCUAAUUCUGUAUGCUUCAUCACUGAAUCGAAAUCGGAAUAAAUCAUUUCCAUUGUCGGUGUUUGGUUCAGGUAGAUAUAAAAAAUGUAAUCAAAUUAAUAUGCUAACAUUAUCUUUAUA